CCGAAAUCGGUGGGAGGCCCUAUUGAAAUUGAAAUGAUUAUUAUUAUUAUUAUUAUUAUUAUUUUUCUUAGCUUAAAUGAAUUGGCUUUUUGAGGGCUUUAAUGUGCUCAAAAAGUUGUAGGAGUUUGCAGUAAAUUCGAAGGCGGCGAAAAUUUACGUAUUCUGGAGUAUUUUGAAAAGGGCGUGGCAAAAUGGCUCAAGAGCGCCACCUACGGAAAAGCCCCUCAUUUAGCAUUCACCGAUCCUCAAAAAAAACAAAGACUAUUGUGUAUCAUGACUAGAUGCACAAAAAAGUCCAUCAGUGCAUUAUGAAUAACGCAACAGGAAGCCCGCCAGUUUGACUUUAGUGGCCAUUUUGGUCAUAUUCGAAAUUUUUUGUUUUAAGUACUCCUCCUACAGCUUUCAUCAAAUCAACUUACAAUUUAGACGAUCGUCAUCACAACAAAAUGGAGAUCUAAAGUUAUUGAAGGAUUAAGUUUUAGCAAAACCGUCUGACCGUGGUGUGACCUCAAAAUUUGAUUAAACGCCAUCAAAACACGGGCUCCUGUAUCUUGGACAUAUUUUGUCCAAUCGAGUCCAAACUAUACACAUAAGACAAGAGUCGCGACCUGAAGACAUCGGUACAGAAAUCGUGACUUAAAAUCACAGCGUCCCCUGGUGGCAACAGCAAAUGUCUUGUUUUUCUAUGUGUUACAGUUUGAUUCACUACUCGUAGGGCCUUCAUUAAAUCAACGUAAAAAUUUGAUGCAUGUGUUCAAAACAAGAUCUAAAGUUAACGAAAUUGCAACUUUUCAUAAUACUGUGUGACCGUGGUGUGGCUUCCAGUUUGAGGUAUGAAAACAUCUAUAUCUGGCAGAUGUGCUGCAAUAUUUAGUCACUAGAUGGCAGUGUCAGACCAUAGUUUGUGUUAUCUAUGCAUUAACAGACUGUGUUUACAGGGUGGCCAACUUUAGAGGAGAAUUAAACCUUUUACAGCAUUGCUCAAACUUUGGUUUUAGUCUCAAUCGCUAAGUUCUUCCUUCAUGACAACUCUGAGGGGGGUAAAUUUGUUUUUAACUUCCUUGUUUAAGCGAUAUAGAUGUUUGAAAUUCACGUGACGCCACAGUGUAAGCUGUGCUGUGUGUUGUGAGUUCGGCUUUAACCAGGUACAAGUGAACGCCUCAUGAAAUGGCUUACACCCACAUACCCAGUAAAUUACACACUUUGAUGUUCUGCUCCUUCUCCUGACGGUCACGGUAACGAUGUCUGCGCCUCCGUUUCUGUGGAUGUCCAGCGUGAGACACAACUUGAAUCCAACCAGACUGAACACUGACUCCAGGGACGGACGAGCCUGAAGGACACAGCUGUGAUGACCAUGUUCUGUCUCUUAUGACAAAGCAGAAAUAUAAAACACUGGGUUCUUAUCUAAAGUGUAUCAAAUCAGAUCUCCACCAUGUUGCUGCUGAGGACAUCAGGGACGGACGAGCCUGAAGGACACAGCUGUGAUGACCAAUUGACCAUGUUUUGUCUCUUAUGGCAAAGCAGAAAUAUUAAACACUGGGUUCUUAUCUAAAGUGUAUCAAAUCAGAAAGCAAAAGAUACACAUUGUUGUAAUAAGUUUCUAUUAUUUUAACCAACCAUAAUAAAGAUAGAAAUGAAUUGUUAUCCAUGACAAUGAGCAAUGACUGUUACCACUAAACAGUUGCAGGCCAUCUUAUUUAAGGGAGGAAUUUAGAAGUGUUGUGUAGCUUCUGAUGAUGAUGCAGUCGUCCACGUGUUGACCACCAUGUUGCUGCUGACGACGUCAGGUGCUGCAGUUCCUCAUCUAUAAAGAGAAGAAACGCACUGUUAAAGAAUGUUUUGAGUUGUGUAUGAAGCACAACAGAUUUCAGAUAGAACCGUUGUACUGUGGUCUGGGUUUGUAUCCUAAUGGUUAAAUGCACAUAUUUUAAGUCGCUUUUGAUAAAAGUACUGAAAGAAAUACAACAUUGUAAAAAUAGAUAAAAUGUCUUUCUACCUCAUCUGUAAUAUUCAAGGUGAUAAUCUCCCACAGAGCUAUUGAUAACAGUCCACAUCAAGUCUCUCCACUUCCCUCGGUUUGAAAACAUAAUUAUAUAAUUAAUUUGAGAACUGUUUACAACACUGAUGUGUGGAGAUUAUAAUCAUAUCUAAACUGUCAUAUUCACUUUAAAACUCCAUGACAGGCUAAAUAAACGCGGUGGGAAUAGUAAUGGUGGAUAUACCAGCCUUCAACAGAAUAAUGGUGAAACAUAGUUACUAUCACAUGCAACUUACACGUGUAGCAUAUUGAUAUUAACUUAUUAUAAUAAAACAUAAAGUCUCAACCAAACAUACGACCCUGCAGCUAACUUGCUUCAAUCUGUUCAUUAGACGUGUUAAAUAAACGGUAACUUUUAUAACAGUUUUAUAUUAAAAAAGCCUUGCGGCAUGUAAGCAUAUGAUGAUAGAUAAAGCAAUAGGUUUUGUUGUAGUAUAGUUUCAAGGUUACUUACCUCUAGUUCAUAGAGCCUCCUGCUGGCUACAGUAAGUGAAGCGAUAGUCCUUGCCGCAGUGCCCAAACGCAUGCAACGCAGAGACGAGCGCUUCUCAUUGAACGUUCUCUCUUCACCGACCGCAACAGACUUGA